ACUGCAUUCACCGCAUCCAAUCUCGUCGGUGUGAUCGGCACAGUCCAAGUGACCGUCGCAUCGCCAGUCGACCGGAAUGCAUCUGGUGCCGUCGCAUUGAAAGCCGCUGGUGCAUACUGCGCAAUGCAUUCGCAAAAGAACAGCAUCGAGGAGUACUGUUGGGGCCGCAGUGAAACGCGACAGAUUUCGAGUCCCUCUUUGUGCUGCUUCUAUUCCAUAACAUAAUUAAGAAUGAUUGGAUUUUCCAAUUAAUUCUGUCCCCUUCGCGAUUGAGAUAAAGUGAACAAUUACAGUUCAAUCUAAUAACAAACAAUAACGCUAAUCGAAUCAACCAACGUUUGAUCCCUCCCGAUUUCACUGUUGCCCUAUCUACCCAAGUUCGACCUCAACCCGAUCAACCGAGAGAACGGUGACCAAAAGACAAGGACAAUUAAGAAAUCGGUAUUAGAUCUCCCCAAAGUGGUCCAGGAAAUCAAGUCACGACUCGAGGCAGUUGACAAUGGUGAACAUUCCGUUUCGAGAAACGAACAAAUGAACGGAACAAAAGAGUCGUAAACGCCAAUGGGAGGGCAAACAAUGGAUAUCGGUUUAGAAGGGACGAAUAAGAAGCUUUAAAAGGGAUACAGUCUACCGGAGUAGUAUAUUACAUCGCUUGAAUGCUAUUGAAAAGAUGUCAAACUUGGAAGUUUCAGAACUUUAUUCAAAUUAAUCAAAAGCUCUCGCGAGGGAAACGAAAUUAAAGUUCGAAUUUCCUACUUGUUGACUCCUUUGAUUCGUUUCGUUUAAGCUGCUGCCCAGGAGGUAGCAUCUCCUUUGAAGAGAGGCUUAGCAGAUCAUAUCAAUUUCUCGAUGUUCAAGUGCCGAGGCGGUAUAAACAAUAAUUUCUCCAAUUUCAUUUUUCCAUAAGGUUCAAUAAUUUUCAAGUGAUUCAAAAAGUUGUAUCGGUACUGUAUACCAUUCGUAAGAUUUGAAAGUUACUUUUGACGACUAUUUUACAACAUAUCGAAAAUAUCAGAUCUAAAAGACCGAAUCGAGGCUAUCUUUGCAU